rfam:Fusarium oxysporum f. sp. lycopersici 4287 chromosome 11, whole genome shotgun sequence.
ACAUACGACCAUACCCACUGUUGAGAAUUCGGGAUCCCGUCCGCUCUCCCAUAGACAAGCCAGUGAGGGGCGGACUAGUAGUUGGGUCGGUGAUGACCAGCGAAUACCCGCUGUUGUAUGUU